rnacentral:lncRNA from 1 species
UUAUAUUUGACAACAGGAACCCAAGGCAUGCAAGAAACAUGGCUUAGUGUGUCACCAUCCAACGGUUUAUGUUUACCAUCCAUCGCCUUCAUGGCACAUAUAUAUAUAAUUAUUGAAAUUUUGGUGCAUUGCAAUGUGGACAACAAUUAAUGGUAUACGAAUUGCAGCGAAGGUCGUGUAAUUGCUAUUUACAAUCCGCUUUCAAGAACCCAUAAAAAAAUUUGAUUAAUUAGUGCAAAAUCCAAGACUUGACAUCAUUUUUAUGUAACUAAUACAAACUAUGUAUAAAAUCAAGAUUUGGGUAAAUGAAUGAA